rnacentral:rRNA from 1 species
GAUGAAGGUUGGAUGAAGAAACUACUGUCUCAAUUAAAAUUUUUUAGAAUUUUAUUAUUUUGUAAAAAGGCUAAAAUUAUUAUAAAAGACGAGAAGACCCUAUAGAGUUUUAUAAUUUGUAUAGAAAGGGUAAUUAGAAUAGAUUUCUUUAUUUGUUUAAAUUAUUUGGUUGGGGUGAUUGAAAAACUUAAUUAACUUUUUUUCAAAGAUUACAUAUAUUUAUGAAUAUUUGAUCCUUAUAAAAGAUUAAAAGAAAAAAUUACCUUAGGGAUAACAGCGUUAUUUUUCUUGAGAGUUCUUAUCGAAAGAAGAGUUUGCGACCUCGAUGU